UUCAUAGACUUUGCCAAAUCUUUAAGUAAAUUUCUCCGAGGGUCAGGUUUCAUUAUGAACAUAUGCAUAGCUCUCCACAUUGCCUCAUAUUGACAAUUGUCUCCAUAAAACAGAAUCUUUGUAGCUCUUGUGUUGCUACAGGAACUAGUGCAAAGGAUUCUGAAGCACAUCCAGGAAUCAGAGGUGACAGAUAUACAUGGCUGAUCAGAAUACAUAAUCACUGUUUAUGAAGGGCAAUUAGUACAGUAGAAGAUCAGGUGCUGGUGUGGAAUAGCAAUCUGCCUGCUUGUUCCUUUCCCUCAGUCAGACCAAUCAUCUGCCCUCCACGGUCUGCCUGAAAAGCAGGGCCAGCAUGGGGAGCUGAGCAACACCAACCUGGGAGGCCGCUCAUGUUAACUACGAUGAAAAUCUACACUAUGUAUGACAAAUGGAAACCUAGGACUCCUGAGGUGAAAAGCUAAAGCAAUAAAAUAAAGGAACACUUAGCCCUCCAGAACAGUUAACAGGAUACAUUCCUUAUUAGUGGAAGAUACCACAACAAAGUCACUUCAGCCAAUAGAGUCCUACGGCCUGAGCACAGAGCUGGGAACCAGAAAACUCCAUUCUAAUCCUGGUCUAGGUAUUGACUUUCUCCUCUAUGGCCAAGACAAGACAUCAAUCAUCUCUUACUCCAUUUGACCAUCUGCAAAAUGAGGCUAAUAAUGCCUAUUUAUCUCAGAGUGGUAUUGUGAGGAUAAGAUAGGUCCCUGUGCUCCCUGCUGAUGGAUGGAGAGAAACACAAUACUGCUAACUGAAGAAGGGAAAUGUGACUAUGCAACACGUUGCUCUCUUCAUAGCUCUUCCAUACCAAGGACCUAACCCACUGAGGUAAAUGGAAAGAUUCCCAUUACUUUCAAUGGACUUUGGAGCAGGCCUUAGCACAGUACAUUUUGUUUAAGAGAAACCAGCAUGCAAGGUUGUCCUGAGAUGCAUUAGGUUUGGUCAUGAUUUUUCCAUUGCCGCUUCAGGGUCUUAUGAUCAGCUGGCUGCAGGGCCUACCCAGUUUUACUUCCACAGAACCAACCCCAGAGAGGAAAGCAUGCAGCAAAUUUGCAGAAAAUGAACCUGCAAAUGUUUUGGGGGACAUAUCAGCCAUGGAAAGAAGUUACUCACCUUGUGCAGUAACUAUGGUUCUUCGAGAUACGUCUCUCUAUGGGUGCUCCACAACUCACCCAGCUCCCCUCUACUUCAGAGUUCUCAUAAUAAACUCUGCAGUAGAAAAGGAACUCGUGGCAGAGCACAUGCAGGGUGCAACAUAUGUGGGAGUCAAACGGACACUGCUACUAAAAUUCUCCAAUUAGCAGCACAGGGUCGCAGACACACCUACAGUGGAAGGCCCAUAGAGACACUACUUGAAGAAGAAUGGGAACAUCCAUGACAUCACAGUGUCUAUAAUCUUCACUCCUAUUGACUUCAUAAAGCGUUCAAGUGUUUUAAGAUGUAGAACACUUUAAAGAACUAAGUAUUAUGUAAUGCUCUAUUUCUUACUAUAAGUGUUAAGUUUUUCUUUUCACACUAUGUUGUAUGCAUCACUGAACCAGAUCCUACAAACACUGAUUAGAUAUUUGCUUUUCAUAUUUUUGAAAAGAUAACAUAUAAUUGGCAGUUCUAUUUGCUAAUAUCUGAGAGUAAUAAACAACUAAUUCUUUAGUGAGAAUUACCACAUUUUUAUUUUUAAACAUAAAGUAAGGAAUUGUUCCAUUAUCUACUUAACACUUUUCUAUAAAUAGAGAAAUUCAGCAGUUACUAGUACAGCUAUUCAUUUAUCUGUGUUCAAAUGUUAAUGAAUAGAAAUGCCAUUUCUUUGUCUAAAUCUCACAAUCAUUUACAGUACCUUUGUAUUCCUUUAAUUAACUUAGCUCAUGCUUCCAUGUAAAAUGGAAUUAAUGCAAUGUAGUGAAGAGCAGUAAUGUACACACAUUCUAAAACCCAUAGUUGGGCCUAAGAAGUUAGCAGUGCAAAAAAAAUUCCAAGUAAGUUCAAACAACUUCUUAUAGUAGCUUUUUAUUUUCAUUUGCAAUGUAGCUUUGCCACUGUAAAACUCGAGUGCUGAUGUAACAAAAUGAAUUUGUGGAGCAUGCCAAAAGCAGCAUUUCUGCAUGUGCAAGCCGGAUUUUUGCAUGUGCAAUACUAACUUUAAGUAAUUUUAGCCCCCCCCAAAAUAUAUUCUGAAAUCCAUAAUGACUUAACAUAUCUUAAGAGUAAAAGAUGAAGAAAUGGACUGAUAAGCUCUCUCAAUCUAAAGUACUUUUGAAGUAUGGGGAGCAUCAUUCUAAUGUCACUUCCCCACCAGCACUUAUCAAGAAAAACACUAAACUCAACUGAAUUAAACCAAUGUAAAACCAGUUCAAGUAAAAUCAGAAUCAAGCCCAGUAAAUCUAACAAGAUCUCAAAGACUUCAACUGAGAUGGUGAACUAUAACUCUAUAAUAAAUAUAACCACAAGCUCUGGGAUCUGCAUAUGUUGAUUUAAAAAGAUACAAAGUGUGUCUCAUGCUUGCUGUGUGCCCAGUUUUGUUAUAAGAACAUCCUCAGCUUUAUUAUUCAGCAGUAUUGUCAAUAAGGAGAUCAUAGCCUAUUAAUAUAAUGCUGAAGCUCAGCCAGUAUUUAUAGUUCAAAAGCUGUCUGAGUUCACUUCAUUGACAUUUUGUUCUGACAACUGGGUAUAUUUUGAUCAAACAAUGCCUCAAGAACUAGGACAACUAAACCUGCUAAGCAACUGUAAAAUAUCUGGUUUUAAAUAGUUUGCAAAAAUAGGUACAGGGUAAGAAAAGAAAGUAUCAGUAAAUAGGUCAGAAUUCAAUAGCGCUUGGAGUUGAAGAGACUAAAUGUCUGUGGUUUCUUUAUGGAAAAAAAUUGUGCUUUCAGACAAAUUCUUUUCUCUUAUAGUUGUUUAAGUCUAAAACCAAACCACGAUCAAAUAAGGAGCAACCACCCACCUACAUAUUCCCUCAAUAAACCUCAAGUAAUACAGAAUAGAAAGCUGUGGUGGAACAGUAAAGUCAGCGGCAGUACAGUGUGGGUGAGACAUGUUGCAACACAGCUUUGGUGUGCAUUAUAUACUGUAACUUGAACUGUAUUUGGUCCCUACCCAUGGCAAAACUACAUAUCACCCAUUGUUUAGCAGUUUAGUAGAUGGAGAAUUUCAUUUAAGUUACUGUCAGUCCAUCCAUUUCCUGAAAAUGUAUAUUACCACCCUGAUUGGGCAUACCUAUUUCUGAGAGAUCCAUUUCUUUUUCAUAGUUACAAGACUUUUGUUCAUUGUCUUAAUUAUGGAAUUCCCUCCUCUCAAAUCAUUACUGUCCCAAACUUUGGAUUAAAUUUUUGUCCAGUUUUACAUAUACAACUGGGUUGUGCAUUGUCUUAGGGAAAGAGUCAAAUUAUGCCCAAUGUGGUUGAAUGGCUUUAACUGUGAGAUUCAGAUCAGAUCAUGACACUCAUGCAUUGUGAAAAGCUCUCUGAUUCCCAUAAAGAAAUGCUGGAAUAUGCAGCAUUGGGGCAUAACCAUUACCUACUGAGUCACCAGACCUCUCAACUGUAUUGUGUUACAUGGUACUUCAUAUUUUAGUACCACUUCUCACUCCCUGAGAUGGUGUACUCCAUAUGAGAUGAGACACACAGAAGAGUGCCUAUCAGGAAGGUGGAAUGGAGGAAAGAGUGGGAGUGCCUGUAUGUGGUGGAGUCCUUGCAUGUGUGUAGUGAUACCUCACCAUAUACAGGCACUGAAAGGCACAGGGAGGAGUUGUGAGCGCCUGCUGCUAGCACCACCACUUUCUUCCUGGCAAAUCCAGGAGCCGCUGCCUCUGUACAUUCCAAAGCAAUUGAAAGGUCUGUAAAUGAGAGGGCAGAAACAGGCAGAAAGCAAAGAUGAGAGCAAAUAUGGGGAGAAGAAGAGGAGUAAACGACAGAAGAAAACUGAGGAGGGAACAAAGGGAGCAAACAAGGGGUGAGCAAAGGAGGAGGAGCAAACCGGUGUUCCCCAUUUUGGUCCGUGUCACACGUUUUGAUGACUCAUGUCACAUAUUGGCAAGUCUGAGUUAAGGUGAAUCCAGAAUUCCCAAUCCACUUUAAUAUUGUGCAGUUUUCUUUGUUUUAGACUUGUAUAUAUAUUUACUAUAAUAUGAUGUUUGACAUUGCCAGUCAUAACUGACUUUGUAAGGGAGAGCAGAAGUACUGGGUACUUGUUUGCACAAUUUGAAAUACUGUGUGGACUGUACAUUAAUUAAUCCCUUCAUCAAAAAUGCCAUUUAUAUGAAUGCCCCACACUUUGCUGUUGUUAAAUCUAGUGACUGUGAAGGUAAGCAAUGAACGUUAAGGAGAAGCACAUUCCCAGUCUAAGAGUUUAGGGAACCAGGAGCUCUUCUCUAACAAUGAAUUCAUAAUAGCAAUAAUUAACAUACCCUACAAACUCGACUUCAGGCUAAGAUUCAAGUCACGGGAACAGAAGAUUAUAAAAAUAUGUCAGAAUAUCAUCAUCAGAAGUAAUUUAUGUGAACAGAUGAUUCGAAAAACAUCCCACUGCUUCACAGAACACCAACAGAGCAACCUCUGUGUGAUCACAUUACAAUCACACAUGAACAAUCAGCCAGCAGAAUUUUGAAUAAGUUGCAACUUCAGGCAAAGCAGCAGGAAAACCUAUAAAAGGCAAAUUACCAGAAUGCAGCUGAAAAGUGGCAAAAGACACAAACAAGAAACAAUUGCUUUAUUGGGCUGGUGAGUUUUAGGCAAUUAAGAUGUAAUAGUAAAACUGGAUGAUAAAGAGUUGUUACAGCCCUAGCUGAGCUCCCCCUUUGCAGACAAUCACCAAGCUUCUGGACCCAAAGCCUUGAAUCCCAUGUGCUCUUAAGCUUACUGAGUCUGAGCAGCAUCCAGACACUGGCUCUAUAUCCAGCCUUUCAUGCACACUCCUGGAAUACAGACUCCAAUGCUGGUACCCCUUUCUAGAAUGUGGGGCCCUGCAGCUCAACUGCCUUAGGCCCCCAAGACAAGUAUGGAUUUAAGUCUCCCCAGUAACUUUUGUAUGCCCUCUCCAUAGCUCCACCCUGAUGGGCACUCUGGAUUAAAACUUCACCCUUUCGGGACUUCGUGACAGUUACAGCAAGUAACACAGAGACUUUGCAAAGGCACCUUUAAACCAAUCCCGGGUUACUGAAAGACAACGAACAAGAGAUAUACAGAUCUAUGGAAAGAUAAGCACUUGUCUCAUUUUCCACAUCCCUCCUCAAAGUUUUUUGUGUCUUAGUCUUCUUCCAGGGAGUCAAGGAUUCUUCUGCACCCUCACUCCUCUUUCUGGUUUUGGUCUGCCCACCUUGAAAGAGUCUCCCUUUUAUGAAGUUUGUUAGGUGAACCCCACUGCGUGGCUUCAAGUUUAUUGCCAGCUGAUUCGUUGCUUAGCUCCAGCCCACCUGAAGUGCACAUUGGGAAAACUGGUUCCCCCUGGGCUGCAGCAAGCUCAUUGUUCUUGGGUGCUUCCAUUUGAUUGCUCUCCAUUAUUAGCCCUCCCACAUGCAAGGAUUUCCCGUGACACUUCCCAGGUGUCACUUCACUCCUCAAGAUGGAGGCUAUAGUGCCAAAGUGAAGGCAUAGUAUGGUUUAACAAUUAAUAUGCCCAUUCACAAAAUAGAAGACAUAUAGAAACAUAUACUAAUCUAUCUCAAGGGUAUCAAGGGAAAGCCCUACUGAUAAAUUCAGCUCUUAAAUAAGAAAAAAAAUACAAUGAAUUUGGUAUACAUAGUACACUUGAUUUUGAAACUGCUAGUUGCUAGAAUGUUAAUGGCCAAUUUUCUUUUUCUUCUGUUUGUAAACAUGAUAUAUUAUAUUUAGAAGUUCCUUUGUUAUUUGUGCAACAAAAAUAGCCUAACUUUAUCUGAUAACUGUUCCCUGAAUUUAUUAUUUAAAUCUGACUCAUCACAAAGAAGAACUGCCAAAUGGACCAACACCCUUUGGGACACUUACCCUGAGGUUGAGCCAGAACAGUAGGAAAAAUGUGAAUUAAAUGAAAUGAAUUAAUAAACUGGAAAUGGAGUAUGUGCCUUUUUAUGCAGAAUAUGCUUUUUUUUGGCUUGUGGAACAUAAGGAAUAUCCUGUUAUGAAAAACAAAUAAAAAAAGAAGAACUAGGUGCACACUCACAAGCACUCCUAAAUGUUUGUAGUUUUGCUAUUCUGUUGCCUAUAUUUCCUCUUCCUGCAGUGUUUACAGUUUUUAUAACAAUGGAAAAGUCAAUAAAAAGAAUGAUU